rnacentral:misc_RNA from 1 species
GUGAAUUUUAGGGUGCUCUUUCUCAGCUGUUUAACCGGCUGAGUGAAGAGGCCUGACCUCCACUCUCCAACACUGUGCACACUUCGGCAUUGCGAACGCUGCUUGUCAGCUAGUAGCUUUGCGGCUUCAUUUUUAACACUAGUCAAAGAAUGUAAACAAAACCAUAACAAAAAAAAACUUUCAACAACGGAUCUCUUGGCUCUCGCAUCGAUGAAGAACGCAGCGAAAUGUGAUAAGUAAUGUGAAUUGCAGAAUUCAGUGAAUCAUCGAAUCUUUGAACGCACCUUGCGCUCUCUGGUAUUCCGGAGAGCAUGCCUGUUUGAGUGUCAUGAACUCUUCAACCCACCGGUUCCUUGUUGAACCGAGCUGGUGUUUGGAUUUUGAGCUUUGCUAUUCAUUUAGCUAGCUCGUAAUAUAUUAGCAUCUUUCAAUUUCAUAAUCGGAUUGACUCAGCGUAAUAGACUAUUCGCUGAGGACACUUUUACUAGUGGCCGGUAAUGGAGAUAGAGAAGCUUCCAACUCUUCUAGUCAACUUUAGA